rnacentral:rRNA from 1 species
UACGUAGGGAGCAAGCGUUGUCCGGAUUUAUUGGGCGUAAAGAGCUCGUAGGUGGUUCGGUAAGUCGGGUGUGAAAAUCUGGGCUCAACCCAGUGGAGCACCCGAUACUGCUGUGACUUGAGUACGGUAGAGGAGUGUGGAAUUCCUAGUGUAGCGGUGAAAUGCGCAGAUAUUAGGAGGAACACCAACGGCGAAGGCAG